AACGAACGCUGGCGGCAUGCCUAACACAUGCAAGUCGAACGAGACCUUCGGGUCUAGUGGCGCACGGGUGCGUAACGCGUGGGAACCUGCCCUUAGGUUCGGAAUAACUCCCCGAAAGGGGUGCUAAUACCGGAUAAUGUCUUCGGACCAAAGAUUUAUCGCCUUUGGAUGGGCCCGCGUUGGAUUAGCUAGUUGGUAGGGUAAAAGCCUACCAAGGCGACGAUCCAUAGCUGGUCUGAGAGGAUGAUCAGCCACACUGGGACUGAGACACGGCCCAGACUCCUACGGGAGGCAGCAGUGGGGAAUAUUGGACAAUGGGCGAAAGCCUGAUCCAGCAAUGCCGCGUGAGUGAUGAAGGCCUUAGGGUUGUAAAGCUCUUUUACCCGGGAUGAUAAUGACAGUACCGGGAGAAUAAGCUCCGGCGAACGCCG
rnacentral:rRNA from 1 species